rnacentral:rRNA from 1 species
UACGUAGGGAGCAAGCGUUGUCCGGAAUCAUUGGGCGUAAAGCGCGCGUAGGCGGCCUUGUAAGUCCGUUGUGAAAGUCAAAGGCUCAACCUUUGAAAGCCGAUGGAUACUGCGGAGCUAGAGUACGGAAGAGGCGAGUGGAAUUCCUGGUGUAGCGGUGGAAUGCGCAGAUAUCAGGAGGAACACCAAUAGCGAAGGCAGCUCGCUGGGACGUUACUGACACUAAGGCGCGAAAGCGU